CACGUAGGCGGCGAGGCAAGUCAAAGGUGAAAGCCCUCGGCUCAACCGAGGAAUUGCCUUUGAAACUGCUUCGCUUGAGUCCGGGAGAGGGGAGCGGAAUUCCCAGUGUAGCGGUGAAAUGCGUAGAUACUGGGAGGAACACCGGUGGCGAAGGCGGCUCCCUGGACCGGUACUGACGCUGAGGUGCGAAAGCGUGGGUAGCAAACA
rnacentral:rRNA from 1 species